UGCUGAUCUGCGAUUACUAGCGACUCCGACUUCAUGGGGUCGAGUUGCAGACCCCAAUCCGAACUGAGACCGGCUUUUUGGGAUUAGCUCCACCUCACAGUAUCGCAACCCAUUGUACCGGCCAUUGUAGCAUGCGUGAAGCCCAAGACAUAAGGGGCAUGAUGAUUUGACGUCGUCCUCACCUUCCUCCGAGUUGACCCCGGCAGUCUCCCAUGAGUCCCCACCACGACGUGCUGGCAACAUGGAACGAGGGUUGCGCUCGUUGCGGGACUUAACCCAACAUCUCACGACACGAGCUGACGACAACCAUGCACCACCUGUGAACCCGCCCCAAAGGGGAAACCGUAUCUCUACGGCGAUCGAGAACAUGUCAAGCCUUGGUAAGGUUCUUCGCGUUGCAUCGAAUUAAUCCGCAUGCUCCGCCGCUUGUGCGGGCCCCCGUCAAUUCCUUUGAGUUUUAGCCUUGCGGCCGUACUCCCCAGGCGGGGCACUUAAUGCGUUAGCUGCGGCGCGGAAACCGUGGAAUGGUCCCCACACCUAGUGCCCAACGUUUACGGCAUGGACUACCAGGGUAUCUAAUCCUGUUCGCUCCCCAUGCUUUCGCUCCUCAGCGUCAGUUACAGCCCAGAGACCUGCCUUCGCCAUCGGUGUUCCUCCUGAUAUCUGCGCAUUCCACCGCUACACCAGGAAUUCCAGUCUCCCCUACUGCACUCUAGUCUGCCCGUACCCACCGCAGAUCCGGGGUUAAGCCCCGGACUUUCACGACAGACGCGACAAACCGCCUACGAGCUCUUUACGCCCAAUAAUUCCGGAUAACGCUCGCACCCUACGUAUUACCGCGGCUGCUGGCACGUAGUUAGCCGGUGCUUCUUCUGCAGGUACCGUCACUUUCGCUUCUUCCCUACUGAAAAGAGGUUUACAACCCCGAAGGCCGUCAUCCCUCACGCGGCGUCGCUGCAUCAGGCUUGCGCCCAUUGUGCAAUAUUCCCCACUGCUGCCUCCCGUAGGAGUCUGGGGCCGUGUCUCAGUCCCAGUGUGGCCGGUCACCCUCUCAGGCCGGCUACCCGUCGUCGCCUUUGGUGAGCCAUUACCUCACCAACAAGCUGAAAAGGCCGCGAGUCCAUCCAAAACCGAUAAAUCUUUCC
rnacentral:rRNA from 1 species